rnacentral:misc_RNA from 1 species
GAAGCAAUUCCAUGGCCACUCGGUGCCAUCUUCUCUCAAGAUCUUAGGCUUCGAAAUCCCCCAGUAACUCGAGACCACCGUACCAUCACUCGUCUUAAACGAUUCCACUCCUUUCUCCGCUUGUUUCUCCACCGACUUCUCCGUCUUCACCUUCUCAGCCACCGCUGUCUCCGUCGCAUUGCUGCUUAUCAUCCUCCUCCAGUAAAACACAUCAAAAGACGUACCAUAUCUGCUCCUUAACUCCGUCCAAACCUCCGUCGGCUUCGAAACACCAGCAGUCGACGCAGCCGUUGCCGUCGAAAUGUAUCUGCCGCUCCGACCUCCAUUGACCAACAAGCCUCGCAACACCGACCUGACCACCAAGUGGUUCAUCAUCUUCACGUUAGGGUUUGUUCCUCCUUCGUGGAUCGACCUUCUCUGUGCAGGGUACAGAGUGGGGUUCUCUAUUUA